rnacentral:ncRNA from 1 species
CGAAUGGUAUAAUAAGAAUUGUUCUUUCAAAAAGACGUGCGGGGUAGUGUAGAGUUGCACGGAAGGCUAGUAGUAUGGGCCCCGCCGACAGUAAUGUCGGUGUGCAAACUUGGCUAUAUCGGUGGACACCCCGGUGUAAUACCGGGACAAUACCGAGGCAAUCCCGAAAGGGCGAGUCCGUAGAGACUAAACGCCAAGUCCCCCCGAAGCUUCAUGCGAAGGGGGAAUGAUAUAGUCCGACACUCAAAGUAAUUUGAGA